UGACAUAACUUCAUCUACCUACCAUUUCUCCGUUUCCUUUAGGCCGUACUGAGAGACAACAUUCCACUCAGUCAGAAUGGAGACGAUUAGUUCGUUGCACAGCCAAUCAACCCUCUGGCGGAGCAGACUUGAUGGUCUUGUCAAGUAAGAUGACGAGAGGCCUUGAUCAUGUGGAUAGCCAGAGGCUUUUUUCCCCAGGGCUGAAAUGGCUGACAUGAGGGGAGAUAGUUUUAACGUGCUUGGAAGGAGGUUACAAGGGGGGAUGUCAGAGAUGCUACUUGACCCAGUGAUUCCCUCCAGAAGAUUGUUUGUUGCUCCAGAUUCCAACAUCCACGUGCAUUGUCUAGUGACUCCACUGUCUGCUGUUUGACUUUUGAGGUGUCAGCUUUGGCUCAGAGGGGAGCUCUCUCAGCAAUGAAUCAGGAGGUUUAGUGCCACUUCAGAGAUCGAAACUUUAAGCAGCAAAGUUGACAUUUUGGUGCGGUGCCUAUGGAGCAACAAGUGGUUGAGAUAUCUGCCUUCUUUGGUGAAUGUGGAAGUCAACGCUGUAAAGAAAUGAAGAAGGAAUGUCUGCUGUUCUGUCCAAAUUAUAACUUCCAGUCAACCUCAUUUAAACAGAUGAUCUGCUCGUUUUGGUUGUUGGAGCUUGCUAAGCAUUGAUGCUACCUUUACAACAUUCCAACCGCAAGACCUGUUGCCUUGGGUUAAAGGCAAUGGAAAUGUCCGGCAAUUUGAGAUGUAAAACUUCCAAGUCACUUUAUUGAUAUAUCGCUCCUGUAAGUAAUCUAAAAGUGGAAUAUUAUUCUGUAAAGAA